rnacentral:tRNA from 1 species
AGGAUGUAGUUCAGAAACAGAAUGUAUUCUUGGCAUGCAUAAGACCCUGGGUUCAGUUCCCAGCAUCACUG